AUUGAACGCUGGCGGCAUGCUUUACACAUGCAAGUCGAACGGUAACGCGGGGGCAACCCUGGCGACGAGUGGCGAACGGGUGAGUAAUACAUCGGAACGUGCCCAGUAGUGGGGGAUAGCUCGGCGAAAGCCGGAUUAAUACCGCAUACGACCUACGGGUGAAAGCGGGGGAUCGCAAGACCUCGCGCUAUUGGAGCGGCCGAUGGCAGAUUAGCUUGUUGGUGGGGUAAAAGCCUACCAAGGCUACGAUCUGUAGCUGGUCUGAGAGGACGACCAGCCACACUGGGACUGAGACACGGCCCAGACUCCUACGGGAGGCAGCAGUGGGGAAUUUUGGACAAUGGGCGCAAGCCUGAUCCAGCAAUGCCGCGUGUGUGAUGAAGGCCUUCGGGUUGUAAAGCACUUUUGGUGGGAACGAAACGGUCCGGGCCAAUACCCUGGACUACUGACGGUACCCGCAGAAUAAGCACCGGCUAACUACGUGCCAGCAGCCGCCGUAA
rnacentral:rRNA from 1 species